CCCUUAGAUGUUCUGGGCCGCACGCGUGCUACACUGAGUGGAUCAGCGGGUCAGGUUGCGCGGAAGUGUUUCCUAAUCUUUAAAUCCGCUCGUGAUGGGGAUUGACGGUUGCAAUUUUCCGUCAUGAACGAGGAAUACCUUGUAAGCGCGGGUCAUCAUCCCGCGCUGAAUACGUCCCUGCCCUUUGUACACACCGCCCGUCGCUCCUACCGAUUGAGUGGUCCGGUGAGGCUUUGGGAUCUGGGCGGAAAGAGCGUUUCGCUGUUUCUGCCCGGAAAACUCAGUCGAACCUUAUCAUUUAGAGGAAGGAGAAGUCGUAACA
rnacentral:rRNA from 1 species